UUCGCCCUUAGAGUUUGAUCCUGGCUCAGGAUGAACGCUAGCUACAGGCUUAACACAUGCAAGUCGAGGGGCAGCAUGAACUUAGCUUGCUAAGUUUGAUGGCGACCGGCGCACGGGUGAGUAACACGUAUCCAACCUUCCGUUUACUCAGGGAUAGCCUUUCGAAAGAAAGAUUAAUACCUGAUAGUAUGGUGAGAUUGCAUGAUAGCACCAUUAAAGAUUUAUUGGUAAACGAUGGGGAUGCGUUCCAUUAGGUAGUAGGCGGGGUAACGGCCCACCUAGCCGACGAUGGAUAGGGGUUCUGAGAGGAAGGUCCCCCACAUUGGAACUGAGACACGGUCCAAACUCCUACGGGAGGCAGCAGUGAGGAAUAUUGGUCAAUGGGCGAGAGCCUGAACCAGCCAAGUAGCGUGAAGGAUGAAGGUCCUACGGAUUGUAAACUUCUUUUAUACGGGAAUAAAGUAUCCUACGUGUAGGAUUUUGUAUGUACCGUAUGAAUAAGCAUCGGCUAACUCCGUGCCAGCAGCCGCGGUAAUACGGAGGAUGCGAGCGUUAUCCGGAUUUAUUGGGUUUAAAGGGAGCGCAGACGGGAGAUUAAGUCAGUUGUGAAAGUUUGCGGCUCAACCGUAAAAUUGCAGUUGAUACUGGUUUCCUUGAGUGCAGUUGAGGCAGGCGGAAUUCGUGGUGUAGCGGUGAAAUGCUUAGAUAUCACGAAGAACCCCGAUUGCGAAGGCAGCUUGCUAAACUGUAACUGACGUUCAUGCUCGAAAGUGUGGGUAUCAAACAGGAUUAGAUACCCUGGUAGUCCACACGGUAAACGAUGGAUACUCGCUGUUGGCGAUAUACUGUCAGCGGCUUAGCGAAAGCGUUAAGUAUCCCACCUGGGGAGUACGCCGGCAACGGUGAAACUCAA
rnacentral:rRNA from 1 species